GACAGAGGUGCCAAGCGUUAGGCGGAAUCACUGGGCUUAAGGCGUGUGUAGGCGGAUCGUUAAGUACCUUGUGAAAUCCCACGGCUCAACCGUGGAACUGCUGGGUAUACUGGCGAUCUUGAGCCACCUAGGGGCGAGCGGAACAAGCGGUGGAGCGGUGAAAUGCGUAGAUAUCGCUUGGAACGCCAAUGGUGAAAACAGCUCGCUGGGGGUGUGCUGACGCUGAGACACGAAAGCCAGGGGAGCGAACGGG
rnacentral:rRNA from 1 species